rnacentral:tRNA from 1 species
CAUGGCUUAGUAGUAAAGCGCCUGUCUAGUGAACAGGAGAUCCUGGGUUCGAUCCCCAGUGGUGCCU